rnacentral:rRNA from 1 species
GACGAACGCUGGCGGCGUGCUUAACACAUGCAAGUCGAACGGAAAGGCCCUGCUUUUGUGGGGUGCUCGAGUGGCGAACGGGUGAGUAACACGUGAGUAACCUGCCCUUGACUUUGGGAUAACUUCAGGAAACUGGGGCUAAUACCGGAUAGGUGCUCCUGCUGCAUGGUGGGGGUUGGAAAGUUUCGGCGGUUGGGGAUGGACUCGCGGCUUAUCAGCUUGUUGGUGGGGUAGUGGCUUACCAAGGCUUUGACGGGUAGCCGGCCUGAGAGGGUGACCGGCCACAUUGGGGCUGAGAUACGGCACAGAGUCCUACGGGAGGCAGCAGUGGGGAAUAUUGCACAAUGGGCGGAAGCCUGAUGCAGCAACGCCGCGUGCGGGAUGACGGCCUUCGGGUUGUAAACCGCUUUCGCCUGUGACGAAGCGUGAGUGACGGUAAUGGGUAAAGAAGCACCGGCUAACUACGUG